rnacentral:lncRNA from 1 species
UCCAAAUUAAAAAAUUACAAGAGAGGUGCACUCCUAUUUAUAGAAAGUUUGUCUUAAAAACUCUUCAAUGACAAGGUGACAAGUGUCAUCACAUUCCAUGCUCAUGAUCCUCUCAAAUGAGAUGUUGACAAGUGUCUUCAUCUCAUUUGAGAGGUUGACAAAUGCCACCUCUUAAUUGGUGUGAAUCCUCUCCAUUGAGGAAGAAUCAUGUGAACCUUCAUCAUUCUCAUGUCACACUCAUGUUUCUCAUGCCAAGUGACGAGUCACUUUACAAUACACACUCACUCUAUUACUAUACACACUCAUUCUUAUAUUAGCCCAAAUACAAUACUCAAAAUUAAACUAAGGUCCAAUACAUGGUCCAAAUAAAAUGUCUUACUCUACUUUUUUACAAAUUAUUUAAAUUAAAGUCUACCAUAAAAAGAUGUUUGACUUAGUCUUAG